UACGCAGGGGGCAAGCGUUGUCCGGAAUCAUUGGGCGUAAAGAGCUCGUAGGCGGUCUGUCGCGUCGGCUGUGAAAACCCGAGGCUCAACCUCGGGCCUGCAGUCGAUACGGGCAAACUAGAGUACUGCAGGGGAGACUGGAAUUCCUGGUGUAGCGGUGAAAUGCGCAGAUAUCGGGAGGAACACCAGUAGCGAAGGCGGCUCGCUGGGCCAUACCUGACGCUGAGACGCGAAAGCGUGGGGAGCAAACAGG
rnacentral:rRNA from 1 species